GACGUAGGGCGCGAGCGUUGUCCGGAUUUAUUGGGCGUAAAGAGCUCGUAGGCGGCUUGUCGCGUCGUCCGUGAAAACCCACAGCUCAACUGUGGGCUUGCGGUCGAUACGGGCAGGCUAGAGUUCGGUAGGGGAGACUGGAAUUCCUGGUGUAGCGGUGAAAUGCGCAGAUAUCAGGAGGAACACCGGUGGCGAAGGCGGGUCUCUGGGCCGAUACUGACGCUGAGGAGCGAAAGCGUAGGGAGCGAACAGG
rnacentral:rRNA from 1 species